GCUCAGGUGGCGGAAUUGGUAGACGCGCUACCUUGAGGGGGUAGUGCCUGUAUGGGCGUGCUGGUUCAACUCCAGUCCUGAGCA
rnacentral:tRNA from 1 species